AUGCCACCUAGAACACCACGGCGUAAUGGUGAGUCUGGAUGUCGUAACCGUACUUUAUUAGAUAUGGUGCAUUCUAUGAUGUCUCUUACCGAUUUACCACUAUCAUUCUGGGGUUAUGCAUUAGAGACAGCUGCAUUCACGUUAAAUAGGGCACCAUCAAAAUCUGUUGAGACGACACCGUAUGAACUAUGGUUUGGCAAUAAACCUAAGCUAUCAUUUCUGGAAAUUUGGGGUUGCGACACUUAUGUCAAAAGGCUACAACCUGAUAAGCUCGAAUCCAAAUCAGAGAAGUGCGUCUUCAUAGGAUACCCUAAGGAAACAAUUGGGUACACCUUCUACCAUAGAUCCGAAGGUAAGAUCUUUGUUGCCAAGAAUGGAUCCUUUCUAGAGAAGGAGUUUCUCUCGAAACAAGUGAGUGAGAGGAAAGUAGAACUUGAUGAGGUAAUUGUACCUCUCUCGAAUUGGAAAGCAGCAGAUCACAGGAAGUUGUUCUCGUGA
rnacentral:rRNA from 1 species